rnacentral:tRNA from 1 species
AAGAAAGUGGCAGAGUGGAGAUGUAACUGGCUUGAAACUAGUAUACGGAGGUUCAAUUCCUUCCUUUCUCG